rnacentral:rRNA from 1 species
CCCAGGUCAGGCGGGACUACCCGCCUAAUUUUAAGCAUAUCAAAACCGCCGGAAGAAAAAAAACUUUACUCUGAAUUUU